AACAUUGUCAAUCAUGUGGCCAUACCUGAUGUAUUCCAGAAAGGUUGACAAGGGUUCUGUGGCUUGGCAGAGCAUGUGGUUGAACUCAUCUACAAGUUUGACAGUACAUUUCUCCACAAUCGUAGUAGUGUGUAAAGGGGAAGGCUCAUUUUGGAGAUAAGGACCGUAUUCAGUAGCGGACAGAUGCAUCUUGAUGUCAUCUAGAGUUUCGCACUGGCAUAGAUUGUUGUAGUCUGCAGCGGUGAGAAGACCAGAUCGGUGACCUCUAACGAUGGCUUCCAAAUAGCCACUGUGAAUGUUGAAGGUAAGCGCUUCGAAUCCGUACAUGGUUGAUAUAGAAUCCUCCACAGAUACAGAUCUGAAGCGGAAUUUGGAGAAAUUUUUUUUUUCUAAUCUUAGAGAGAAGAAGGUGAAUUGAAUUUUG
rnacentral:misc_RNA from 1 species